rnacentral:sRNA from 1 species
UGAUCGUUUGCAGAGCGGCAAUAGAGUCGC